CCUACGGGUGGCAGCAGUGGGGAAUCUUGCGCAAUGGGCGAAAGCCUGACGCAGCAACGCCGCGUGCGGGAAGAAGGCCUUCGGGUUGUAAACCGCUUUCAGAAGGAACGAAACUGACGGUACUUUCAGAAGAAGGUGCGGCCAACUACGUGCCAGCAGCCGCGGUGACACGUAGGCACCAAGCGUUGUCCGGAUUUAUUGGGCGUAAAGAGCUCGUAGGCGGUUCGGUAAGUCGGGUGUGAAAACUUUGGGCUCAACCCAAAGCGUGCACUCGAUACUGCCGUGACUAGAGUUCGGUAGGGGAGUGGGGAAUUCCUAGUGUAGCGGUGAAAUGCGCAGAUAUUAGGAGGAACACCGGUGGCGAAGGCGCCACUCUGGGCCGAAACUGACGCUGAGGAGCGAAAGCGUGGGUAGCAAACAGGAUUAGAUACCCCUGUAGUC
rnacentral:rRNA from 1 species